CUCUACAUCACAUAACAAAAAAGUUACGAAGAUGUGCGGUCACUUCAAGAUGCUAAACUAAAAUGAGUAAUAUUGAACUAGUUUUUUCGACUAAGCUAGUUAAUUUGGUGAAUUGAUUUAAGAUACAAAGAUGAAGGUUCCAUCAACUCUGGCAAAAUUCCAAACAAGGAACACACCAAAAAUUGACUACAGGAACGUCCCGCCCAUGCUAUCAUAUUUCUUUCCGUAAACGCAAAAAUCCGAACAAAAGCUAUCAAAGGAUGGAUAGUUGAAAGCUGAGAAAGGACAAAGUUAUCUCUGUAAAUUAAUUUGUUGAAA